rnacentral:rRNA from 1 species
UACCUACGGGAGGCAGCAGUAGGGAAUCUUCGGCAAUGGACGAAAGUCUGACCCAGCAACGCCGCGUGAAGGAAGAAGGCUUUCGGGUUGUAAACUUCUUUUGACAGGGAAGAGCAGAAGACGGUACCUGUCGAAUAAGCCACGGCUAACUACGUGCCAGCAGCCGCGGUAAUACGUAGGUGGCAAGCGUUGUCCGGAUUUACUGGGUGUAAAGGGCGUGUAGCCGGGCUUACAAGUCAGAUGUGAAAUCCGGGGGCUCAACCCCCGAACUGCAUUUGAAACUGUAGGUCUUGAGUAUCGGAGAG